rnacentral:piRNA from 1 species
UCCACUCAAGUGCCUGCUGCUUUUCAAGGU